UACGGCCACAUCACGUUGUAACAUCGGUUCUCGUAUGAUUGCCGAAGUUAAGCAACGUCGAGCCUAGUCAGUACCUAGAUGAGUGGCCGCUUGAAAAUAUCAGAUGUUGUAAG